UUGACUCAGCAACUUUAGAGAAGGUCCGGUCUCUUAGCUUCAACUUUGACGUGGAGCAAGUUGGUGACGUAGCCUGCUAAUGGAGGGCAUUGUGGGUAAGAAGGAGCCUCUGCACUGCAAUUUGAACAUCUUAAUAUAGACCUCCCCAUUGUACUUAUGGCUGUAUGCUUAGGGUCUUUGUGCUGUGGAAAGACAAAUCUCCACCAAUUUCAGAUCCUUCAUAGCCUGGAACAGUUGUUUCCAGCAGAGCAUGGUGCGCGUUACUGCGCAGUCUUAGUUUUCCACAAUGCAAAGAGUUUCAUUUCUCCCUCCUUUGAUCAGACCGCCUACUUUGUCAAGUUUGCAAACUGGACUUCUUUCUGUUAACAAUGGCUUCUUCUUGUCACUUUUAUUUAAAGUCUCCUUUUGCGAAAAAUACUUGCAAACAGGUUGGUAAGAAUUUGGGUUUUAUUGAAUGUAACAGACUCUUGCCGUCCGGUUCCCAGAUUUAAGCUUCUCAGUUCUCUGCCAUCAAAGGCGAUUCAUGGUUUCAACUUCCACUUGACUGCAAGACUUGAGAGCGAGAGAAAGAAAAAAAAAAAUCACCAUCUGCACCCAUCUGCCAAGGUCUGUUUAACGGCCCUGCGUUUUCAUGCUCAUAUUUCUCUGUGUGUAAACAUUAGUCCUCUCCCACACGCUCUUGGAGCUCUACCCAGGAGCUGGCUGCUUGUGGGAAAUCCUCUUCCUCACUAUCAUGUGGCUCCUCCCACAGCCUUUUCUCCAGCUUGUCAUCGGCAACAGGAUGCGUUUAGAUCAAGAUGCUCAUUAGGAAGUUCAUAAGGCAUCGAUUCUGAUGCCGGCUUCGUUAUUGUUAUGCAUUACGGUCCCUCCACAGAGUCCUGAAGACGGCCCGCUUCCAUCUGCCGCUUCGUCCAAACUCUCCCACACUCUCCAAGCCACACACAUCAGCUGAAACUGUAUCCGCCUAAUGGUCUGGAAUACCCCUGCUCAGGCUGAUCAUCACUCCAAUUUUCUCUUCAAACGGGCAGUUUUGAUAAAACCGCGAGAUGGUGCGAUGUGACGGGAGAGGUGGAGGUGGGGAACGGGGUGUAAACAUUGGAGUUGCCAUGGAGGCGGCUAUUAAAUUGUGUGUGUGUGUCUCCUUGUAAACUUGGAAUGACCCUCUUUCCAUAGAAGUUGUGGGAACGAGGGGAAAGAGACAAUCCUCAGUUUUUCAUGCCUCGGGUCUUGCAGAGCAGAAAGAUGAAAGAGGGUCGAUGAUAAACAGUGGAAAAACCUGGGCAGGUUCCACCUUCAGUCCGGGUUUCUCACGCGUCCGGAAUCCGAGACGACACGCGAUCGUCUCGGUGCACGCGCCGAAUCAAAGGCCAACGCAGCAGCCGUGUCGGGAUGGCAGGAUGCGUGCCAUCGAGUGUUUAUGUGCCGGGCAGCAGCUCCGCCAUUUCCUCGCUAAUUCCUGCACUUCUCCCCUCUCUGGUUUCAAAACAGGCUGAACCCAGCGGAAUCCUGCUGGUUGCUUUGAAGCCGAAAUAGCCACGGCCAGAACCAGAGCCAGACUGACCGGGCCCUGCUCACUGUGACUCCACAGUCUGUCUCUGCACCCUGAACCCUCACCCUUGACCCCAGAGACCUCAGACGGAGGCAAACCGCUGACGUCAGGCGGCAGGGUGCAGCGUGAGGUUGCAGGGUUUAACGCCGGGUUACAAGGUUUUUGUCAAGCUGGCAUCCUCUGCUGGAGUGUCAGGUUCCACUUUAUGUCAGGCUGCCAAGAGCAGCACACAGGGGGGCGUGAAGACAGAUCAGGGCGGUUCGAGGCGACCUGGCAGGCUGCUGUUCUCCACCCCAGAAAGAAGGGAACCACCUCCUGGGGUGCGGGGGCCCAGUGGCCCCUCUGGGGAGACGUUACCUGGACCUGGGCAUAGAGACAGACUUCAAGGGUUUUGACUUGUGCUCUUUCUCUCCUUUACUCCUGUCUUCUUCUUUCCCCUUAAACCUUUUCCCAACU